rnacentral:rRNA from 1 species
GUGCAGCCCUAAGUGGGUGGUAAACUCCAUCUAAGGCUAAAUAUGACCACGAGACCGAUAGCGAACAAGUACCGUGAGGGAAAGUUGAAAAGCACUUUGAAGAGAGAGUUCAAGAGUACGUGAAACCGUUUAGGGGUAAACCUGAGAAACCCGAAAGGUCGAAGGGAGAAAUUCAUUCGCGUUUCGACGUAGGCGUCGGGCGGUCGUGUGACGGGAAGCGUUCGCGUUUUCCGCACCUUCUGUCCGUCGAACCGGCGACGAACGCGUGCACUUUUCUCCUGGUAGGACGUCGCGAUCCGUUGGGUGUCGGUCUACGGCUCGCGGUGGAGCCCGUUCGCCAUUACGUGCGAGCGGACCCGCGUGUCCCGGCUGACUCGCUCGACGGUAUACGAAAGGUUUGAGGCCGCUCUCGGAGCGUUCGACUCGUUGCAAGCGCGCCAGAUGUGUCGGCGAUCGGACCUAGUGCCGGUUCCGAUCUCUGGUGACUGUUGGCCUCGAUGUUCUCGAACAGACCUCUGACCGAUCGGCGACGCUAUAGCUUUGGGUACUUUCAGGACCCGUCUUCAAGGAGUCUAGCAUGUGCGCGAGUCAUUGGGAAUCACUAAACCUAAAGGCGCAAUGAAAGUGAAGGUCUUCCUUGCGAAGACCGAGGGAAGACGAGCGGUUUACCCUUAAAAGUGGCCGCUCCGCAUUCCCGGGGCGUCUCGUUCUCAUUGCGAGAAGAGGCGCACCAAGAGCGUACACGCUGGGACCCGAAAGAUGGUGAACUAUGCCUGGUCAGGACGAAGUCAGGGGAAACCCUGAUGGAGGUCCGUAGCGAUUCUGACGUGCAAAUCGAUCGUCGGAACUGGGUAUAGGGGCGAAAGACUAAUCGAACCAUCUAGUAGCUGGUUCCCUCCGAAGUUUCCCUCAGGAUAGCUGGCGCUCGUUGCGCACGAGUCUCAUCCGGUAAAGCGAAUGAUUAGAGGCAUUGGGGUCGAAACGACCUCAACCUAUUCUCAAACUUUAAAUGGGUGAGAUCUCCGGCUUGCUCGAACUUAUGAAGCCGCGAGACACGGAUCAGAGUGCCAAGUGGGCCAUUUUUGGUAAGCAGA